AGAGUUUGAUCCUGGCUCAGAACGAACGCUGGCGGCAGGCUUAACACAUGCAAGUUGAACGUGAUUUGUUUGGUGCUUGCACCGAGCAAUGAAAGUAGCGCACUGGUGAGUAACACGUGGGAACGUACCUUUUGGUGGGGAACAACAGUUGGAAACGACUGCUAAUACCGCAUAAGCCCUGAGGGGGAAAGAUUUAUCGCCGAAAGAACGGCCCGCGGAAGAUUAGGUAGUUGGUGGGGUAACGGCCUACCAAGCCGACGAUCUAUAGCUGGUCUGAGAGGACGAUCAGCCACAUUGGAACUGAGACACGGUCCAAACUCCUACGGGAGGCAGCAGUGAGGAAUAUUGGGCAAUGGAGGCAACUCUGACCCAGCCAUGCCGCGUGAGUGAAGAAGGUUUUCGGAUUGUAAAGCUCUUUCGGGUGUGACGAUGAUGACGGUAGCACCUAAAGAAGCCCCGGCUAACUUCGUGCCAGCAGCCGCGGUAAUACGAAGGGGGCAAGCGUUGUUCGGAAUUACUGGGCGUAAAGGGAGUGUAGGCGGUUAUGUAAGAUAGUGGUGAAAUCCCAGAGCUUAACUUUGGAAUUGCCAUUAUGACUAUGUGGCUAGAAUUACAGAGAGGAUAGCGGAAUACCCAGUGUAGAGGUGAAAUUCGUAGAUAUUGGGUAGAACACCAGUGGCGAAGGCGACUAUCUGGCUGUAUAUUGACGCUGAGGCUCGAAAGCAUGGGGAUCAAACAGGAUUAGAUACCCUGGUAGUCCAUGCUGUAAACGAUGAGUGCUUGUUGUCGGUGUAAAAUCGGUGACGAAGUUAACGCGUUAAGCACUCCGCCUGGGGAGUACGGUCGCAAGAUUAAAACUCAAAGGAAUUGACGGGGACCCGCACAAGCGGUGGAGCAUGUGGUUUAAUU
rnacentral:rRNA from 1 species